rnacentral:rRNA from 1 species
UACGUAGGUGGCAAGCGUUGUCCGGAUUUACUGGGCGUGAAGAGCGCGCAGGCGGUCGUGCAAGUCGCGUGUGAAAGCCCCCGGCUCAACUGGGGAGGUCACGCGAUACUGCUCGACUGGAAGGCAGGAGAGGGAAGCAGAAUUCCCGGUGUAGUGGUGAAAUGCGUAGAUAUCGGGAGGAAUACCAGUGGCGAAGGCGAUCACCUGGGGAUGUUCUGACGCUGAGGAGCGAAAGCUAGGGAGCAAACGGGAUUAGAAACCC